GCACGACGAACUGGAAAUGGAGAAAAGUGGCUGGGUGGAUUGAAGCGACCAGCAGUCCCUGAGCCCCAGUCCCCCUUUCCUCUGGCUGGACUGGGAAAGUCCCUGGGGCUGGGCUGAGGUUUUUGAAGACGCUAAUAAACACCGUCACUUCUUAACACAAGUUAUUUGGAGCGAGACUUUGAAAUCCCCCGUGGUCUCGGUAAAUCGGGAGCCCUUCCCGACGUUUCCCUGCAGCACAAAUGACAUCCUACUGACGCUUUAAUGCCACCAAGCUUCCCCGCUCGCCAGCAGGACCCUCUCCUUCGGGGAUGAGAUGGCCGUGAGAGCCACAGCGGAAACACCGGGCAGGACCCACGCCAAAAGUCAUUCCCUCUCUCUCUUUAACAAGAAAAAAAAAAUAAAUAAGGGGGGAGGGAGGGCGAAACGGGCCUUUGCGAUCGCAGCGGUCACAUCACCCGGUAUCCACCCAAAAAUGGGGGAGCGGGGCCGGAGGCAGCCCGCCCCGGGGCCCGGGGAGCCGCCGGUAUGUGCGAGCGGGACUGCGAGGGGAAGGGAAGGGGAAGGGAAGGGAGGCAGGCAAAAAAAUCCAUGAAUGAAUAAAGAGGGAGGAGCCUGGGAAAACCCCUCUGCAACGCCGCACCGAACAAAGCGCUGCACACAUGCCGCGGGGGGGUGGGGGGGAAGUGGGGGAGAGGGACGGGGGGCGGCCGCGGCCCGGCACCCAGCGGGGACGGCGGCGGCGCCGAGAAGAGCCGGGCCGGGGCUCCGCGCCUACCAGUGCCCCCGAAACCCCGGCUGCAGACCCGGGGCGGAGGAAGCGCGGCCGGAGCAGUGACGUCACCGGGUCUCCCGGUCCCGCCCCCUCCCCGGGUCGGGGGAGGGGUCACCGAGGGGGUUUCCUCGCGGCCCGGUGGGGGAGGCCCGGCCGGGGGGCCGCUGCAGCCCCGCCGCCGCCUUCUCCUCCUCCUCUUCUUUCUCCUCCCGCUCCUUCUCACCGGGGGGGGACGCCCCCGGGCGCUGCCGCCCCGGCCCCUGCCCCGAGGCAAGGGGGGCACCUCGCCGCCGCGGCUCCCGGGGGUCUCCUCAAGGGGGGGUCCCCGCCGGGCACGGCACGAGGCAGCGCCUCCCCCCGACGGCCGAAGCCGCCGCCGCCGCUCGGGGCGCUGCGCGGUGCGCGUCGCGCUCCCCCCUGGCAGGGCCCGGCCCCCGGGGCACCGGCACGGCCGGGCGCACACACACACACACGCACACGGACGGACACGCAGGGAGACGGGGCUGAAGCGGAGAUCCCGGAGGUUCCUCCCUGCCGCCCGCCCGGACGGGCUUCCCCGCGCCCCCGCCCGCCCGGCCCGCCGCGCCCCGGCGCCGCCGGGGAAACUCACCGCCGCGCCGCGCAUCCCGCCGCGGCUACAACUUUCCAUCCCGGGCGGCAGCCGGCGGCGGCAGCGAGCCCCUCCGCCGCUGGAAGUGGGCGGGGGAGGAAAUACGAGGAGGAGGCGCGUCGUGCUCUCCGCCGCGGCGCCCCUUUUUUGGCCCGGGAUGCGGGUUUUGCCGGUGGGGGCUGUGCCGCCGCGGUUGGUUUCCUGCAUCAGCUGCGGAGUGUGUGUGCACAGCCCACACGUGUGUCUCUGUGUGUGUGUGUGUGUGUGUGUGUGUGCGCCGGGUCACCCUGCCCGGCCAAGGGCUGCCCUCCCUUCUCCCCCGCCGCGGGCAAGGCAGCGCUGGGCCGCCCUCCAGAAGGCGAGGGGACCCGGGCUGGGCUUUGGGUACUGAGGAGGGGGAUUUGGCGUUUCUUUUUCUUUUUCUUUUCUUUUUUCUUUUCUUUUUUUUUUUUCUUUUUGCACCCAAAUUCCCCGACAAAGCAGCAUUGGCAGCUUUUCAUUGCCACUCGGGUUUUCCAUCGGGUUUUCUUUUGAAGCCAGCACGUGAUGUCUUUAGCAAAUAAACCAAAUUAAAUAUUUCUUGCA
ensembl:lncRNA